GACGAACGCUGGCGGCGUGCCUAAUACAUGCAAGUCGAACGCAGUGGGGACGGGUGAGUAACACGUGGGUAACCUCCCAUCAGAGGGGAUAACAGUUGGCAACAGGUGCUAAACCGAUACGGGUGGAUGGACCCGCGGUGCAUUGGCUAGUUGGUGAGGUAACGGCUCACCAAGGCAACGAUGCAUAGCCGGACUGAGAGGGUGAGCAGCCACACUGGAACUGAGACACGGCCCAGACUCCUACGUGAGGCAGCAGUAGGGAAUAUUGCGCAAUGGACGAAAGCCUGACCGAGCAACGCCGCGUGAGUGAAGAAGGUUUUCGGAUCGUAAAACUCUGUUGGUAGAGAAGCGGUACCUAACGAGAAAGCCCCGGCUAACUACGUGCCAGCAGCCGCGGUAAUAC
rnacentral:rRNA from 1 species